rnacentral:lncRNA from 1 species
AGCUUGUAGGCACUGUAUCCUCUCACAUCCGCACAAGAACAAGGUACAAUUCAAUACGAGAUUUGUACUCUCCAUCCAUCAAAGGUCCUUGUAAAAAGUCUAGAUGUGGAGGCAGAGUCUCCCUUGACCAGACAUGACUGCCAGGAGCUGCUUGAGAAAUGAUCCCAAAGAGCGUGGAUGGCAGAUUUGGGUGGAUGAAAAGAGAAUGAGAGAUGACUUCCAAAGCACCUGAGCCUCACAGUCUGUGCCUUUCAUUUGGAUUUCUGAGACUACCUCUGUGCCGAUUCCUGAUAUGCGGGGUCCGCUUCACUGCUCACGCUUCCCCUCCUGUCAGGCAGGCGAAGAGGAAGAUGGUGUCUGGUGCUUGAUGUUUGCUUGUUUUCUGUGGCCAGUACUACAUGUCAUUACACAGCACUGAAGCUGAAGUGAGGAAAAGAAACUUUUAAAGGCAGCAUUAAAGUUAGCUUUUCUACUUCCUGAUAACAAACAGUUUCAUUUGCAGUGGUCCUGAAUUUAUUAGA